GAUGAACGCUGGCGGCGUGCUUAACACAUGCAAGUCGAACGGAAAGGCCCAAGCUUGCUUGGGUACUCGAGUGGCGAACGGGUGAGUAACACGUGGGUGAUCUGCCCUGCACUUCGGGAUAAGCCUGGGAAACUGGGUCUAAUACCGGAUAGGACGAUGGUUUGGAUGCCAUUGUGGAAAGUUUUUUCGGUGUGGGAUGAGCUCGCGGCCUAUCAGCUUGUUGGUGGGGUAAUGGCCUACCAAGGCGUCGACGGGUAGCCGGCCUGAGAGGGUGUACGGCCACAUUGGGACUGAGAUACGGCCCAGACUCCUACGGGAGGCAGCAGUGGGGAAUAAUGCACAAUGGGCGCAAGCCUGAUGCAGCGACGCCGCGUGGGGGAUGACGGCCUUCGGGUUGUAAACUCCUUUCGCUAGGGACGAAGCGUUUUGUGACGGUACCUGGAGAAGAAGCACCGGCUAACUACGUG
rnacentral:rRNA from 1 species